AUGGCAGAUGCCGCAAGAGGAGCAACAGGGCCGCCUCCCCACGGCAGCCUCAGCCUCCCGGACGAGAUCACCAUCUGGGAGAUCCUCGUCCACCUGCCUCCCAAAUCGCUUCUCCGCUGCCGUGCCGUCUGCCGCGCCUGGUGCGGCGCCACCUCCACCCGCCGCUUCUUCCUCGCCCACCACGCCCUCCAGCCCACCCUCCCCCUCCUCUACGACUACAACUUCGUCGGCGACGAGGUCGAGUCCCUGGACAUCAUCCCCUUCGACCACGCCCUCCAGCCCGUCGCGCGGCUUCAACAAGCCUCCGACUUUCACCAUCUGGAGGCCUGCUGUGACGGCCUCCUCGUCCUCUCCUUCCGCAACAACUGGCGCUUCGCCAUCUGCAACCCUGCUACUCGUCAGUACGCUCCCCUCCCGCUGGCCUAUGGCCGUAAUGGCGAGUACUCGCUCCUGGGGAUCUACCCGCACAGCCCCACCGGCGACUACCGGCUACUGAUGUACCGGUACUCACCAUUGAUGCAUGAUGAACUGGUUGCAGAGCUCACUGUGCGGUUCGGAAGGUUUGACGAAAGUUCUUGGGUAGUGGCCGUGCCUUGGGAUGGUGACGUGCUCCUACUGGUCAAUUUUGGUGACUGGCUACUUCAGGUUGACAUUGAGGGCAAGCUGGUCGCUACUUUCCAUCGCAGAGGCCUCGGUCCUGCAAAUCUUCGGCUCAAGCAAACUCUUGUUCAACAUACCUUCUUUCCGACACUGGAGGGCUAUGUUGCAAACUCUCCGCCUUUCAUCUGA
rnacentral:rRNA from 1 species